rnacentral:rRNA from 1 species
CCUACGGGUGGCAGCAGUGAGGAAUAUUGGUCAAUGGGCGUAAGCCUGAACCAGCCAAGUCGCGUGAGGGAUGAAGGUUCUAUGGAUUGUAAACCUCUUUUAUAAGGGAGUAAAGGGCGGGACGUGUCCUGUUUUGUAUGUACCUGAUGAAUAAGGAUCGGCUAACUCCGUGCCAGCAGCCGCGGUAAUACGGAGGAUCCGAGCGUUAUCCGGAUUUAUUGGGUUUAAAGGGUGCGUAGGCGGAAUUUUAAGUCAGCGGUGAAAGUCUGUGGCUCAACCAUAGAAUUGCCGUUGAAACUGGGAGGCUUGAGUAUGUUUGAGGCAGGCGGAAUGCGUGGUGUAGCGGUGAAAUGCUUAGAUAUCACGCAGAACCCCGAUUGCGAAGGCAGCCUGCCAAGCCAUGACUGACGCUGAUGCACGAAAGCGUGGGGAUCAAACAGGAUUAGAUACCCGAGUAGUC